rnacentral:rRNA from 1 species
GAACCUGCCCUCGAGUGGGGAAUAACUAUCGGAAACGAUAGCUAAUACCGCAUGAAGUCCUGAACUGCAUGGUUCAGGAUGAAAGCUUUAUGCGCUCGGGGAUGGGCCUGCGUCGGAUUAGCUAGUAGGUAGGAUAACAGCCUACCUAGGCAACGAUCCGUAGCUGGUCUGAGAGGACGAUCAGCCACACUGGCACUGAGACACGGGCCAGACAACUACGGUUGGCAGCAGUGGGGAAUCUUGGGCAAUGGGCGAAAGUGACCCAGCCACGCCGCGUGGAGGAAGACACCCCUAUGGGCGUAAACUCCUUUUAUGUGGGAAGAAGGCCUUCCUCGGGAAGGUUUGACGGUACCGCAUGAAUAAGCACCGGCUAACUCCGUGCCAGCAGCCGCGGUAAUACGGAGGGUGCAAGCGUUGUCCGGAUUCACUGGGUGUAAAGGGUGUGUAGGCGGAGUGUCAGUCAGAGGUGAAAGCCCACGGCUUAACCGUGAAUUGCCUUUGAUACUGCAGCUCUUGAGUCUCGGAGAGGUCGCUGGAAUUCGUGGUGUAGCGGUGAAAUGCGUAGAUAUCACGAGGAACACCAGAGGCGUACGGGGCGACUGGACGAGUACUGACGCUGAGGCACGAAAGCGUGGGGAGCAAACAGGAUUAGAUACCCUGGUAGUCCACACCGUAAACGAUGAAUGCCAGACGUCGGGCAGUAUACUGUUCGGUGU